GGCGAACGGCUGAGUAACACGUGGGCAAUCUGCCCUGCACUCUGGGACAAGCCCUGGAAACGGGGUCUAAUACCGGAUACAACCGCUGACCGCAUGGUCGGGUGGUGGAAAGCUCCGGCGGUGCAGGAUGGGCCCGCGGCCUAUCAGCUUGUUGGUGAGGUAAUGGCUCACCAAGGCGACGACGGGUAGCCGGCCUGAGAGGGCGACCGGCCACACUGGGACUGAGACACGGCCCAGACUCCUACGGGAGGCAGCAGUGGGGAAUAUUGCACAAUGGGCGCAAGCCUGAUGCAGCGACGCCGCGUGAGGGAUGACGGCCUUCGGGUUGUAAACCUCUUUCAGCAGGGAAGAAGCGCAAGUGACGGUACCUGCAGAAGAAGCGCCGGCUAACUACGUGCCAGCAGCCGCGGUAAUACGUAGGGCGCAAGCGUUGUCCGGAAUUAUUGGGCGU
rnacentral:rRNA from 1 species